rnacentral:rRNA from 1 species
UCCCAGACUCCUACGGGAGGCAGCAGUGGGGAAUAUUGCGCAAUGGGGGAAACCCUGACGCAGCAACGCCGCGUGAGUGAGGAAGUAUCUCGGUAUGUAAAGCUCUAUCAGCGGGGAAGAAGGAAGACGGUACCCGACUAAGAAGCCCCGGCUAACUCCGUGCCAGCAGCCGCGGUAAUACGGAGGGUGCGAGCGUUAAUCGGAAUUACUGGGCGUAAAGCGCUCGUAGGCGGUAUGUCAAGUCAAGGGUGAAAUCCCCGCGCUCAACGUGGGAACUGCCUUUGAAACUGGCAAGCUGGAGUGUGUGAGAGGAUAGUGGAAUUCCAGGUGUAGGAGUGAAAUCCGUAGAUAUCUGGAGGAACAUCAGUGGCGAAGGCGACUAUCUGGCACAUAACUGAUGCUGAGGAGCGAAAGCGUGGGUAGCAAACAGGAUUAGAUACCCGGGUA